rnacentral:lncRNA from 1 species
UUUCUGUCAUUUUCAAAUAAUUUACAUUCCAGAAUAUAAUGAUAUUCGUCACCAAUACAGUUAUUAUUACAUUUCAAACAUUUUCUAUUUUCCCUUUCUAUACCAUUCCACCGUCCUGUUUCUAUAGGAAGUCUAUGAUUUGUGGUUCUAAACUUACACAGCGUAUAGAUAUCUUUAUCUUCCAAUAUAUUUAAAAAACAUUCAAACUGAAAUGUCUCCUUAAAUAAUCUAUAAUUUAUAGAUUUUGGUGAAUUUAACAUAAGUGAAUGCCAUUCCUGUCUAAAUUGAUCAUGUAGGCGCAUCUUUAUCGAAGGGAUAAGCCAAUAUGAGCUAGGAAAAAGCUGAG